rnacentral:tRNA from 1 species
CAUUAGAUAACUAAUUCUAAGUAUUGGUCUUUUAAACCUUUAAUAGUAAAUUUAUUUUACUUCUAAUGA